rnacentral:snoRNA from 1 species
CAAGCCUCCUUGACGCUGCUAAUAGUCUUGGAUUCAUAGGCUGGCGAUGAUUGAGAUAUUCCCACACGCAAUUUCUGCUGAUCCACAUGAAGGUUAAACUUCCUUGGACGUCUGAGCCAC